UACGGAGGGUGCAAGCGUUAAUCGGAAUUACUGGGCGUAAAGCGCACGCAGGCGGUUUGUUAAGUCAGAUGUGAAAGCCCCGGGCUCAACCUGGGAACUGCAUUUGAUACUGGCAAACUAGAGUAUGAGAGAGAGAAGUGGAAUUCCACAUGUAGCGGUGAAAUGCGUAGAGAUGUGGAGGAACAUCAGUGGCGAAGGCGACUUCUUGGCUCAAUACUGACGCUCAGGUGCGAAAGCGUGGGGAGCAAACAGG
rnacentral:rRNA from 1 species